UACGGAAGGUCCUGGUGUUAUCCGGAUUUAUUGGGUUUAAAGGGAGCGUAGGCCGUCAGGCAAGCGUGUUGUGAAAUGUCGUGGCUCAACCAUGGACUUGCAGCGCGAACUGCCCGACUUGAGUGCGCAGAAAGCAGGCGGAAUUUGUGGUGUAGCGGUGAAAUGCUUAGAUAUCACGAAGAACCCCGAUUGCGAAGGCAGCCUGCUGUAGCGCUACUGACGCUGAAGCUCGAAAGUGCGGGUAUCGAAC
rnacentral:rRNA from 1 species